GACGAACGCUGGCGGCGUGCUUAACACAUGCCAGUCGAGCGAACAGACGAGGAGCUUGCUCCUCUGACGUUAGCGGCGGACGGGUGAGUAACACGUGGAUAACCUACCUAUAAGACUGGGAUAACUUCGGGAAACCGGAGCUAAUACCGGAUAAUAUAUUGAACCGCAUGGUUCAAUAGUGAAAGACGGUUUUGCUGUCACUUAUAGAUGGAUCCGCGCCGCAUUAGCUAGUUGGUAAGGUAACGGCUUACCAAGGCAACGAUGCGUAGCCGACCUGAGAGGGUGAUCGGCCACACUGGAACUGAGACACGGUCCAGACUCCUACGGGAGGCAGCAGUAGGGAAUCUUCCGCAAUGGGCGAAAGCCUGACGGAGCAACGCCGCGUGAGUGAUGAAGGUCUUCGGAUCGUAAAACUCUGUUAUUAGGGAAGAACAAAUGUGUAAGUAACUAUGCACGUCUUGACGGUACCUAAUCAGAAAGCCACGGCUAACUACGUG
rnacentral:rRNA from 1 species